rnacentral:rRNA from 1 species
AUGGACAAUGGAGACGAGUUUUUCUUCCAUCACUUCCUUUGUUCAUCGGACGAUUCGUCGUCGGAUGAUGACGAUCUUGUGGUGGCUGCACUGGUCGUUCACGACCAUAUUCAACGGCAGCUUCCUCGGUACAGGGGGUCAGUCCCUGGCCGUGCUCCCAACCUGAACCGCAACAGGGAGAGAGGCCACGCCCUGCUCUAUGCAGAUUACUUUCCCAACACCCCGCUCUUCAGGCCGGAUAAAUUUCGUCGCCGUUUUCGUAUGGCAAGGCAUGUGUUCAAUCGUAUCCGAGAGGGAGUGGUUGCUCAUGACCCAUACUUCGAGUGCAAGACGGAUGCCCUUGGCAAGCUUGGAUUCUCCUCCUAUCAGAAAUGCACCGCGGCCAUCUGCAUGCUUGCAUAUGGAAUUCCAGGCCAUCUGGUGGAUAAGUAUGUGCGUAUGAGUGAGACAACAUGUCUGAUGUCAAUGUACAAGUUUUGCCAGGCUGUGAUCGAGGUCUUUGGGCCAGAGUACUUGAGGCAGCCAACUGCCGCUGAUACAGAGAAAUUGUUGGCGACCAACGCAGCUAGAGGAUUUUCAGGUAUGCUUGGCAGCAUAGAUUGUAUGCACUAG